rnacentral:lncRNA from 1 species
CUAUAACAUCGAUUAUCCCAAAAAUUUUUCUCUUAGCCUGCUAGCUAAUAAAGCAAUUGCUAGACCAAAGAACCUAACUUACGAUAAAUGGUCAAGUGCUUUAGGGUUGUUAUCCAUAUAAAACAAAGAACCUUUCAGAUGACCUUGUGGAUACUUCAACACCUGGUAAAGGUAUAAAUAAAUUUAAUUGCCAAAGAUCCACACUUAGGAAGAUAAAAGGGGCAGAGGACACUGAACCAUACAGAUAACACCACAAACUUCAUUUAGUCAUUAGACUGAACUUCACUCUUGCAGUUUCAUCUCCUGUUUUUUUUCUACAGUGAAGUUUCUGAAAAGUAAUACAGCAGGCAAAUAAAAUCUGCAGGAGACAGCAGAAGGAAAAGCAAUUAUUCUGAAUAAUCUACACAUAAAAAAUAUGAUUUUGUUUGAUAUUUACCACCCCCUUCAAUUUUGAGGAGCGAUUACUUCCAAAUAUCCUGCCAACGAUUUAUAGCCAAGGACCUUUGCCCUGGAUUGAUGGACAUCAAUAUUUCAUAUAUUUCAUUUUGCCACUUGAAUGGAGACUUAACUCUGAAAAUUAUUUGGCUUCCUUGGGUUAAAAACCUGGAUAUUAACAGCCUUGUUUAAUUAUCUGACUCAGCAUCUCACUUAAAAAAUCUGAGCCUAUUUUGCC